AUACGGAGGGUGCAAGCGUUAUCCGGAAUCACUGGGUUUAAAGGGUGCGUAGGCGGCUCCAUAAGUCAGUCGUGAAAUCGUGUGGCUCAACCAUGCAACUGCGAUUGAUACUGCGAAGCUUGAAUAAGGUUGAGGUAGGCGGAAUGUGACAUGUAGCGGUGAAAUGCUUAGAUAUGACACAGAACACCGAUUGCGAAGGCAGCUCACAAAACUGUAACUGACGCUGAGGCACGACAGCGUGGGGAUC
rnacentral:rRNA from 1 species